rnacentral:rRNA from 1 species
UAAGGAAUAUUGGUCAAUGGGCGCAAGCCUGAACCAGCCAUGCCGCGUGCAGGAAGACGGCCCUAUGGGUUGUAAACUGCUUUUAUCAGGGAAUAAACCCCCGCUCGUGAGCGGGGCUGAACGUAC